UACAGAGGUCCCAAGCGUUGUUCGGAUUCACUGGGCGUAAAGGGUGCGUAGGCGGUCGGGUAAGUCUGAUGUGAAAUCUCACAGCUUAACUGUGAAACUGCAUUGGAUACUAUCCGGCUAGAGAAAUGGAGGGGAGACUGGAAUACUUGGUGUAGCAGUGAAAUGCGUAGAUAUCAAGUGGAACACCAGUGGCGAAGGCGAGUCUCUGGACAUUUCCUGACGCUGAGGCACGAAAGCCAGGGGAGCAAACGGG
rnacentral:rRNA from 1 species